ensembl:miRNA
CGGGCCCCGGGCGGGCGGGAGGGACGGGACGCGGUGCAGUGUUGUUUUUUCCCCCGCCAAUAUUGCACUCGUCCCGGCCUCCGGCCCCUCCGGCCC